CCCUUUUUUUGUUUUCGGCUGCUAUAAUGCAGUCGAGCGAACUGAUUAGAAGCUUGCUUCUAUGACGUUAGCGGCGGACGGGUGAGUAACACGUGGGCAACCUGCCUGUAAGACUGGGAUAACUUCGGGAAACCGAAGCUAAUACCGGAUAGGAUCUUCUCCUUCAUGGGAGAUGAUUGAAAGAUGGUUUCGGCUAUCACUUACAGAUGGGCCCGCGGUGCAUUAGCUAGUUGGUGAGGUAACGGCUCACCAAGGCAACGAUGCAUAGCCGACCUGAGAGGGUGAUCGGCCACACUGGGACUGAGACACGGCCCAGACUCCUACGGGAGGCAGCAGUAGGGAAUCUUCCGCAAUGGACGAAAGUCUGACGGAGCAACGCCGCGUGAGUGAUGAAGGCUUUCGGGUCGUAAAACUCUGUUGUUAGGGAAGAACAAGUACGAGAGUAACUGCUCGUACCUUGACGGUACCUAACCAGAAAGCCACGGCUAACUACGUGCCAGCAGCCGCGGUAAUACGUAGGUGGCAAGCGUUAUCCGGAAUUAUUGGGCGUAAAGCGCGCGCAGGCGGUUUCUUAAGUCUGAUGUGAAAGCCCACGGCUCAACCGUGGAGGGUCAUUGGAAACUGGGGAACUUGAGUGCAGAAGAGAAAAGCGGAAUUCCACGUGUAGCGGUGAAAUGCGUAGAGAUGUGGAGGAACACCCAGUGGCGAAGGCGGGCUUUUUGGUCUGUAACUGACGCUGAGGCGCGAAAGCGUGGGGGAGCAAA
rnacentral:rRNA from 2 species